AGAACACUGAUCUUCAGUAUCUACAGCGAAUUCAAGUAACAUGCAGCUUGUGAGAAUAAUGGAAUAUCAGCACAAAAACAGGAUGACUAUGGGCAAUGAAGUGUUUACUAUUGAAGUUUUAAGAACAAGGCGCCAACCUUGCAAUGUGGGGUUCAGUAUCUCGCUCAAGGAUACUUUGACAUGUGGCCGGGGGAGCCGGGGAAUCCAACCACGGUCCUUCCGAUUACUUGACGAUCUAAAUGUUCACAGACCAGCUGCCUCAAAUGGCAGAGGAGGAUCUGAUACUUUGGCGUGGAGAGCCGGGCUCUUCGACAAAGGCGAGCAUGACUCAGAAACUGUCUCAGCUGCAGCUAAUGUGACACCUCUCUCUGCGGAUGGAUGUGACUUUUG